GGCUCGUUGGUCUAGGGGUAUGAUUCUCGCUUUGGGUGCGAGAGGUCCCGGGUUCAAAUCCCGCAGGCGUUA
rnacentral:tRNA from 1 species